rnacentral:rRNA from 2 species
GGGUUGUGAGGUUAAGCGACUAAGCGUACACGGUGGAUGCCCUGGCAGUCAGAGGCGAUGAAGGGCGUGCUAAUCUGCGAUAAGCGCCGGUAAGGUGAUAUGAACCGUUAUAACCGGCGAUACCCGAAUGGGGAAACCCAGUGUGACUCGUCACACUAUCAUUAACUGAAUCCAUAGGUUAAUGAGGCGAACCGGGGGAACUGAAACAUCUAAGUACCCCGAGGAAAAGAAAUCAACCGAGAUUCCCCCAGUAGCGGCGAGCGAACGGGGAGGAGCCCAGAGCCUGAAUCAGCAUGUGUGUUAGUGGAAGCGUCUGGAAAGGCGCGCGAUACAGGGUGACAGCCCCGUACACAAAAGCGCAUGUGCUGUGAGCUCGAUGAGUAGGGCGGGACACGUGGUAUCCUGUCUGAAUAUGGGGGGACCAUCCUCCAAGGCUAAAUACUCCUGACUGACCGAUAGUGAACCAGUACCGUGAGGGAAAGGCGAAAAGAACCCCGGCGAGGGGAGUGAAAAAGAACCUGAAACCGUGUACGUACAAGCAGUGGGAGCACAGGUUUACCUGUGUGACUGCGUACCUUUUGUAUAAUGGGUCAGCGACUUAUAUUCUGUAGCAAGGUUAACCGAAUAGGGGAGCCGCAGGGAAACCGAGUCUUAAUUGGGCGUUAAGUUGCAGGGUAUAGACCCGAAACCCGGUGAUCUAGCCAUGGGCAGGUUGAAGGUUGGGUAACACUAACUGGAGGACCGAACCGACUAAUGUUGAAAAAUUAGCGGAUGACCUGUGGCUGGGGGUGAAAGGCCAAUCAAACCGGGAGAUAGCUGGUUCUCCCCGAAAGCUAUUUAGGUAGCGCCUCGUGAAUUCAUCUCCGGGGGUAGAGCACUGUUUCGGCUAGGGGGCCAUCCCGGCUUACCAACCCGAUGCAAACUGCGAAUACCGGAGAAUGUUAUCACGGGAGACACACGGCGGGUGCUAACGUCCGUCGUGAAGAGGGAAACAACCCAGACCGCCAGCUAAGGUCCCAAAGUCAUGGUUAAGUGGGAAACGAUGUGGGAAGGCCCAGACAGCCAGGAUGUUGGCUUAGAAGCAGCCAUCAUUUAAAGAAAGCGUAAUAGCUCACUGGUCGAGUCGGCCUGCGCGGAAGAUGUAACGGGGCUAAACCAUGCACCGAAGCUGCGGCAGCGACACUGUGUGUUGUUGGGUAGGGGAGCGUUCUGUAAGCCUGUGAAGGUGGCCUGUGAGGGUUGCUGGAGGUAUCAGAAGUGCGAAUGCUGACAUAAGUAACGAUAAAGCGGGUGAAAAGCCCGCUCGCCGGAAGACCAA